rnacentral:rRNA from 1 species
AGAGUUUGAUCCUGGCUCAGGAUGAACUCUGGCGGCGUGCUUAACACAUGCAAGUCGAGCGAAGCACCUUGACGGAUUUCUUCGGAUUGAAGCCUUGGUGACUGAGCGGCGGACGGGUGAGUAACGCGUGGGUAACCUGCCUCAUACAGGGGGAUAACAGUUGGAAACGGCUGCUAAUACCGCAUAAGCGCACAGUACCGCAUGGUACGGUGUGAAAAACUCCGGUGGUAUGAGAUGGACCCGCGUCUGAUUAGGUAGUUGGUGGGGUAACGGCCUACCAAGCCGACGAUCAGUAGCCGACCUGAGAGGGUGACCGGCCACAUUGGGACUGAGACACGGCCCAAACUCCUACGGGAGGCAGCAGUGGGGAAUAUUGCACAAUGGGGGAAACCCUGAUGCAGCGACGCCGCGUGAGCGAUGAAGUAUUUCGGUAUGUAAAGCUCUAUCAGCAGGGAAGAAAAUGACGGUACCUGACUAAGAAGCCCCGGCUAACUACGUGCCAGCAGCCGCGGUAAUACGUAGGGGGCAAGCGUUAUCCGGAUUUACUGGGUGUAAAGGGAGCGUAGACGGCAUGGCAAGCCAGAUGUGAAAGCCCGGGGCUCAACCCCGGGACUGCAUUUGGAACUGUCAGGCUAGAGUGUCGGAGAGGAAAGCGGAAUUCCUAGUGUAGCGGUGAAAUGCGUAGAUAUUAGGAGGAACACCAGUGGCGAAGGCGGCUUUCUGGACGAUGACUGACGUUGAGGCUCGAAAGCGUGGGGAGCAAACAGGAUUAGAUACCCUGGUAGUCCACGCCGUAAACGAU